rnacentral:rRNA from 1 species
UGAGGAAUCUUCCGCAAUGGGCGAAAGCCUGACGGAGCAACGCCGCGUGAGUGAAGAAGGCCUUCGGGUUGUAAAGCUCUGUUAAUCGGGACGAACGGCCCUGCGAACAAUACGCGCAGGGAAUGACGGUACCGGCAAAGAAAGCCACGGCUAACUACGUGCCAGCAGCCGCGGUAAUACGUAGGUGGCAAGCGUUGUCCGGAUUUAUUGGGCGUAAAGGGAACGCAGGCGGUCUUUUAAGUCUGAUGUGAAAGCCUUCGGCUUAACCGAAGUCGUGCAUUGGAAACUGGGAGACUUGAGUGCAGAAGAGGAGAGUGGAACUCCAUGUGUAGCGGUGAAAUGCGUAGAUAUAUGGAAGAACACCGGUGGCGAAGGCGACUUUCUGGACGAUAACUGACGCUGAGGCGCGAAAGCGUGGGGAGCAAACAGGAUUAGAUACCCUGGUAGUCCACGCCGUAAACGAUGGAUACUAGGUGUAGGGGGGUCAAACCUUCUGUGCCGGAGCCAACACAAUAAGUAUCCCGCCUGGGAAGUACGGCCGCAAGGUUA